rnacentral:sRNA from 1 species
ACCCUAUUAGACGAUACACGCAUUCACCACUCUUGCAUACCCUUCCUUAUCUCUCUGCUGCAGCCUGUUUCUUCAAGUCCAGAUACUUGGCCGCAUAAUCAUUUGCCAAUACCAGAUCCCCAGACAGAUGCAUCACAGUCGCCUUUUUCGCCAUCAUCUCGCAUUGGCCCUGCACAUCCUCCACAUUUGAAAACUCCCCAAACGCGCAGUCAAUAAAUUCCACCGCCCGCGCCAUAUGCUCCUUCUGCCGUACUUUGUCCCUCCCCUGGCUGUGCACCUGCACUUGUCCCGCCAGCCCCAUGUUGGCAUCAGCUAAUAGAGAAUAUGUACGUGCGGUGAGAUACGCAUCUUCGCACUCGUGAACUUGAGGUUGGUUGGUUUGGUCAAAGAUCCUUGCUUUGUACACUAGCAAUUUGACCUGGGUGGCAACGUCGAAGUUCUCCUGUCGCAUCGACUGGGCAUUUCGCUCAACUAUUUCGAGCGCAGCUGUGUAGUCACCCUUUCGCAUCAAAAAGUCUACCUCCAAGAGCGAGAGUGUCAACACUAAUUCUGUGUCUGGUGGAGCACAUGCAUGUAGUUGUGAUAUAAGCUGCUCGGCUGCUAGUUUAUCAUCUCUGCUUAAUUGGUCAGCCAAUCCUUUUGUAAAGGGGAAGGAAAUUUAAUUACCGAUGAAGUUGUCUUUGCAGCUUCAAAAGUCCGCAAAAGAAUGUCCAAUUCUGUUGGAUCCUAAGAACUCGAAGCGAAUCGGAAGAUAUCUCAUUUAACCGAGCCAUAGACAGGCCAUAGCUUCCUCUAGCGGCCAGCUUCUGACUGUCAGCUUUUUACCCUUCGUUAUAGGCCACGCGAGAAAAGUGUUACUUACCAACAUGCUACCCAGACAUGUCACUCUUAGGUUGUCUUCAUGUGGAGCUUGUUCUGCAUAGCAUUCUCGAAAGAUUUCGCAAUUAGACCACGCCAGAUGUGCGACCCCUUCAGCGUUGCAAGAUUCUUAGCAAAUCCCGAGAAUGUUUUAAAGCAAAGACCAAAAAAAAAUAUCAUUACCUAUUCGAGAAUAUGUCGAAGCUUGCAGCAUAAGCAGAGGCCCAGCUAAAUUAGGCGCGUCCUUCGUCACAUUGAGAAAUGAGGCUUUGACAAUAUGUUCAAAUGCCGACGCCACACUCUCGCC